rnacentral:rRNA from 1 species
CUGAGACACGGCCCAGACUCCUACGGGAGGCAGCAGUGGGGAAUCUUGCACAAUGGGCGAAAGCCUGAUGCAGCCAUGCNCGCGUGAAUGACGAAGGCCCUAGGGCUGGUAAAGUCGUUCAUCAGGACGAAUAAUGACGGGACCCUGAAGAAGAAGCCCCGGCUAACGUCGGGCCAGCACCACCCGGUAAUACGAAUGGGGNCUAGCGUUGUUCGGAAUUACUGGGCGUAAAGCGCGCGUAGGCGGACUAUUAAGCCAGAUGUGAAAUCCCGGGGCUCAACGUCGGAACUGCAUUUGGAACUGGUAGUCUAGAGGCCAGGAGAGGUUACUGGAAUGCCGAGUGUAGAGGUGAAAUUCGUAGAUAUUCGGUGGAACACCAGUGGCGAAGGCGACUGACUGGACUGGUACUGACGCUGAGGUGCGAAAGUGUGGGGAGCAAACAGGACUAGAUACCCUGGUAGUCCACACCGUAAACGAUGAGUGCUAGUUGUCGGCAGGCAUGCCUGUCGGUGACGCAGCUAACGCAUUAAGCACUCCGCCUGGGGAGUACGGCCGCAAGGUUAAAACUCAAAGAAAUUGACGGGGGCCCGCACAAGCGGUGGAGCAUGUGGUUUAAUUCGAAGCAACGCGCAGAACCUUACCUACCCUUGACAUGCCCGGUUUGGUCGCCAGAGAUGGCUUCCUUGAUUCGUUCGCCGGUGCACAGGUGCUGCAUGGCUGUCGUCAGCUCGUGUCGUGAGAUGUUGGGUUAAGUCCCGCAACGAGCGCAACCCUCAUCCUUAGUUGCCAUCAGGUUUGGCUGGGCACUCUAAGGAAACUGCCGGUGGCAAGCCGGAGGAAGGUGGGGAUGACGUCAAGUCCUCAUGGCCCUUACGGGUAGGGCUACACACGUGCUACAAUGGCAGUGACAAUGGGAUAAUCCCCAAAAACUGUCUCAGUUCGGAUUGUCGUCUGCAACUCGACGGCAUGAAGUUGGAAUCGCUAGUAAUCGUGGAUCAGCAUGCCACGGUGAAUACGUUCCCGGGCAUUGUACACACCAGCCCGUCACAUCAUGGGAGUUGGUUCUACCACGAAGACCGUGCGCUAACUUCG